UACGUAGGGUGCAAGCGUUAAUCGGAAUUACUGGGCGUAAAGCGUGCGCAGGCGGUUGUGCAAGACAGAUGUGAAAUCCCCCGGGCUCAACCUGGGAAUUGCAUUUGUGACUGCACGGCUAGAGUGUGUCAGAGGGGGGUAGAAUUCCACGUGUAGCAGUGAAAUGCGUAGAGAUGUGGAGGAAUACCGAUGGCGAAGGCAGCCCCCUGGGAUAACACUGACGCUCAUGCACGAAAGCGUGGGGAGCAAACAGG
rnacentral:rRNA from 1 species